AAGUUAUUUUUUAUGACAAAGAAGCCAUAAACAAAAACUGGGAUGAGUUCCUACUGGAGAUGGUCUAAGCUUGGUUGCGAUAUGGAGAUGAAAUCUCUAAAACUCUUCUUCAAACUUCAUAGCCCGAGGCAAAACUUUCCCAGGCUCCCUGUGUUGCUGUUCGAAGACCCAUAUGUUAUGAGUUAACCAGAUCUGCCAAAUCAAGUAUGCAAUUUGAGCCAUUCUUGUCUUGAAAUGUGGUUUGAAUUUCUCCUCUCCAUUAAUUGGAAUCACCAGUCCCAUGCUUUCACUCCCUGAUCUCUAGGAAUUGCGUUUGUAAAGGGAGAAUUGAACCAGAUGCCACUAAUUUCUGGGCAUAGAAUGACCGCGUAGACAGGAGUCUCCAGCACCGCCAUACAUCGUGGGCAGAGAUAACUGACUUGAGGUUCAAAAUAUUUCUCCACAAUUCUGCCACUCCAUACCUUGGAUGUAGGUUUUUCUGAUGAAGAUGAAAGAAAUGGUAUGCAAUUACAUAUCCUGAGAUAACCGUAUAAGCUCCUUCUAUGUUGUUGUAUCAAAAAUUGAUUCUUCUUCUCUUUUGAUAUAUACUUGUUCAAUCUGUAAGGCUAUUUCUGGGGGAAAGACACUUUGGAGCAACUGCUGAGUCCACUCCCCUGUUUCUGUUAUUAAUUGACACACCCAGUUAGUGUUUCAUCCCUACACUCAUUAGUUGCUAUUCUUAAUGGUGGUUGUUCCCUAAAUCAGGGAUUCUCCUUGAUUCUGACUAGGCUUUGAUUAGUGAUAUUCUAUUUUACUCCCUUCUCUAAAACUUUUCUUCCCUCUAAAAGGCUUUGCCAAGUCCAAGAGGGUCUAGUUCUAGUUUUCGCAUUCAAAAAGGUGUACCUAAAGUAUUUGUUUUUGAAUACUUUGUAAAAAAGAGAGUUAGGAUUAUUCAUAAGAUGCUACCCCUGUUUUGCUAGCAUUGCCAUGUUGAACGCCUUCAAAUUCUUAAACUCUAAACCCCCGAACUCCUUCUCUUUAGUCAUAGUAUCCUAACUUAUCCAUUGCAUUCUCCUUUCAUUUUGUAAGGAAGCUUAAAGCAUCCUAGGGUGUAAAUUGGUAUAACUGAACCAACUGCUUUGAUUAGAACUUCACGCCCGCUUACUGAUAAAAAGGAUUUCUUCGAGUACGCCAGCUUUUUAGACACUUUCUCCUUAAUAUAAGAAAAAGUAGCCUUCUUCGAAUGAUUAACUGUUGACGGGAGUCCCAGAUAUUUAUCUUGCGCUUUGACAUUAGGAAAUCCAAUGUAAUCGACUAGUGUUGUUUUGAUGGCUUAAGGCAUGUUUUUACUGAAAAACACUACUGAUUUGAAGAAAUUCACUUGCUAACCACUUAUUCUACCAAAUAACUAUAAUCAUAGUUGUCAGAAACAGACUGAACUAGUCGGUCAGAUCGAAAAAUGGGUAAACCGCUCACAUGGCCAAUCUGGUUAAGGAAUCUAAUCGAAAAAGGAAAAGAAUUGGUGAAAAUUGGUUUGGACUGGCCAGUUUUGAUAAAACCGGUGAACCAAUAGUUUUGAAUAACUGUCCAGUUCGAAACAAUUUUUUCCGCCGCCGACCACGUCUUCAUCUUGCCGGCCCUGGUGUGUCUCCAUCACUGCAUCGUCACAUUAGUGGCUCUCUUGCACUGCGCCGUUGCGUCCCUUACAAUGCGUCAUCGCGUCUCGUUGCUCCUGUGUAGCUCUUGUCGUCGUCGUCGAGUCCUCAUCAGAGUCUGAUUUUCUGUCAUCGAACAGGCAACGGUGGUUCGUCCCCUCGCUGGCUCAUCGUCACCCUUGGCUCCUCUGUCUCGUCCCAACGCAGCCAGUCUUAGUUUGCCUCUGCUUGUGCUUCCUCUGUCUUGGCCCCUCUGCUUAUGCUUCCUCCUUAUUCCUCCCUUGUUAUCUUCUUGCUUAUUUUUCUUCUGUAGUGUGGGUGAGUUCACUGAGUUAUUUUUUACUUUUUCAAUUUUUUUUUAUAAAUUUUUUAUAAUGAACAUUUUCAAUUUUUUAGAUUCAUUUAAUCAUUCAUUUGGUGUUUCAAUAUUGAAUUCACAUUUGUAUGUAAAAUAGAUUGAUUUAAUUUGUAAUAUGCUUUGAUAAAUUGUAUUUGUAUGUAAAACUAAUUGAUUUAAUUUGUUAUUCUUCUUGUUC